UUUUUUUUUUUUUUUGGAACGUUGUCUAGAGCCUAUUUUCAUCCUUUCUGCUCAUGUGAAAUAUCUUUUUAAUUAUCUCCUCAAAGGUAUGGUUCUGUAAGUGAGGUACAAGAGAAACUGCGCCUAUUUAAAGUAUGCCCAUGACGUGGUUUAGAUGCACGCCUGCAAAACCAUCACCACAAUCGAGAUUGCAAACUUUGCCGUCACCCCAAAAGUCUCUCCCUGCCCUGUACAAUCCCUCCCUUCUCUCAUCCCUAUCCCCAGGCAACACCCGCCGAUCUAGAGAAAGCCCUCUUGGAAAGAAGAAAGACUGUGGCUACUUUGCUAUGUUCUCAGGCCAGUCCGGUUAGGGCAGGGGUGAAGGAGGAUGGAGACAUCCCAGGAAAUGAGGGUAAGUGUGCAGAUAACAUAGGCCAAUGGGAUUAGGAGAAUCGCAGAGCAAAACGGCUGCAGCAACUACUGGAAUUAACCCUUGCAGCAAACUUAAGGGAAAGGUGUCAUCAUCCCCCUUUUAUGAAUGAAGGCACAAGCCCUGGUCGUGGUUGAGGAGCUGAUCCAAGGUCAUUCGGGCAGUAGGUGGCAAAGCUGGAGCUCAGGGGCCUGGAGGCAAAGCCUGCUCAAGCUCACUAAGUGCUUUCCCUCCAGGCCCUGUAGCCACUGCUGGGAUCAGCUGAACUUGCCGUCCCCACCUGGGCUCCAGGGGUGGCCUGUGCCCUGAAACCUGCUCUGUGUCCUACAGGUUUCUUUGCGUCCCUCCCGUUGUCAGGAAGGGAGACGGGAGCCAAGAACCCUGACUUCCCAACCCACCUGUGGCCCAGCCUGCUGUGAGGCUGCCGCCAGGGAGCCCCACCCUCUGCAGGGGUGCCUCCCAGAGGAACCCCCAAGCUUCAACACUCCAGAAGAGGGCCAUGUUAGGGACAUUUUAAAGCCACCUAAAACCAACGCAGCAACACGUAUACACACUUGAUUUUUUGCUUUUGAAAAACUGCAAAGUAAUGUGCAAAUGUUCUGUUCCCUCCCCAACUUCCACCUGCUCAUCGGGGAUCUGAGGGUCAAGCACGGGCUGAGGGAUGGGGUGGAAGUCAGGGCUGAGGGUGGGGAUCGAGGUGCAGGGAAAAAGAUGAGGUGGGGAAGGGGUGAUGGAGGGACACGUUACUUAGAAACUUAAAAAAUAACCAGUGACUUUGCCCUUGGACAGGGCCAUUUGGACACAUCCACACCAAAAGUGCUCUCAGUGGCCAAAGAAAGCUUCAAGCCCUCUCUGAGCUUCAGCUUCCACAGGAAGCAUGCGGUGGUGGAAGCUGCAGGAAGCAUCUGGGCACCUCACAUGUUUAAAGAUGGAAGGCUUCCUGGAGGAAGAGCCCACACUACUGUAGGUCACAGGCCUCACUUCCUCCCAGGAGGAGCUGGGGGACAGGGGCCUGGGUGGGCAUCCCACUUGAUGGGACAAACUGAAGAAAAGAGAUGGAUCCAAAAUACUGAGUGAUUGGCAUGAGAGCCACCAGAUUUCCAGAGGACAGACACUAGGGAGUGGGCAAAUCGAUACUUGACUCGGUUUCCACCUCUGCACCCAGAGCAGGAUCCCAGCUCCUAGAGUCUCCAAGAAGACAGCAUGGGACUAAGUGUGAAGGGUGCCCAGCCCAGUGCCUGGCACAUGGAAGAGCUGUCCCACUGCCACCCUGUCAGAACCCCGGAAACCCCAGGGAAGCUUCUGGGUGCUGUGGGAACUUUACAUCAGCUUCAAAAUGCCCUGCCUGACCCGUGACUCACAGUUUUGAUUUCAGAAUGAACACUUUGCAAAGAAGACAUUUCCUUUAUUGUGUAUAAAGACUCCCUGAUUAAAGUCAGGUGGGGGCAGGCUGGCCCCUCGUUCUGCAUUGAGAGUCCCCAUUACUUUGCCAUUUGAUAUGGGGAGAAGGCAGCCAGGGGGUGGCAGAUAGACAUCCUAACAAGACCCAUUGCUGGUCUGUCUCCUGCCCCCACCCUGCCCCCCUCCACUCUGCGCUCUACCCGGCUGGGGAUGAGCUGACCCAGGUCCACGAAGACACCCCCCCCCCCAAAGCAAAGAGAACCAGGGCUUCUCCCAAGUCUGCUAGCCACCUGUGGCUCCUCGGCCCAACCAAGAGCUGACCAGACACACCAGGGCCUUGGGUGAGGGAAAGGAGUGCCCCACGCAAAAGCAGAGAGAGAGAGUGAGUGAGGCUUCCUGGAAGAGGGGGGUCCCAGACAUGUUUUGAAAAUCGAGGGGGCAAACUUUGGUGACAACAAGAAGGCAUCUCAUCAAAAUCCCACAGGCGAUACUUCACGCAUGGAUUUCAUUUAACAAUAUGCGUUGGGCACCCAGCAAGUGCCCAGUGUAGUGGGCAACAGGGACAUGGACGUGAGCAGAACAUGGUCCUUGCUUCUGCAGAGGCUCAUGGGAAAGCAACGUGACCCACGCUGUGGCAAAGGAGCAGUAGUUGCCAAUCGGGCCAGGAGAGGCCCGGGACCUUCCAUGGAGGGCAGUGCCUUGAGAGUCUUGAAGGUGGUAUAGAGGUCAGGUUCUAGAGGCUGCAUGGGUUUGCACCCAGGUUCUCCCAGCUACUAGUUCUAGGAGCUCGGGCAACUUAUUAACCUCUCUGGGCCAGUUUUCUUGUUCUGGAAAGGGCACGUACUUCAGAAGGUUGUUGUAAACAUUAAAUAUAUGAAUACAUGUAAAGCAUAUUUAGAACAGUGUCUGCUCUUAGGUUCAGCAAACGUGUUUAUUAACGAUUGUCUUGAAGGCAAAGCAGGCAGCCUGCAGAUGGGAACAUCACAGGUAAGUGUUUCAGGAAGCAGGACCCACAGGGACAGAGGCAGGGAUGUGGCAGAGGCAGGGCUGGGGUGUGGCCCAGAGACUCCUGGGGAGCAUGUGCUGAGAUGAAGCCUGGAAGGUGGACAAUGGCCAGAUGUGCCAGGCUGUGCGCACCUUGGAGGGUGGACCUGGUCUAGGAGCUAAGAGAGGGACUGGGGGUUGCAAGAGGCCACUGGACUGGAAGAAGUGAGCCUGGAGGUGAGGGGCCCCGCUGGCAGCCUAGUGGGAGAGAAAAGAGAGACAUAAAGGAGUCCAAAACCAGCAGGAACAGAGAGGAGGUGAGUCACUGGGGCCUUGAGGGGAUGGAUGCAGGGGAAGAAGAGGCUGAGCUGGGGCUGCCUUGGCAAACACGGAGCCAUCCGGAUGAGGAAGACAGGAGCAGGGGUGGGCUUGUGGGUGGAGGCGGGGGAAUAACAGAAUAAGAGGUGCUGGGUGCCCAACUAUGACCUAUAGACGCAUUAUUUCAUUGAAACCUUACAUGGACCCUUUACGAAAGGUACUGUCACCAACUCUAUUUACAGCUGAGAAAACCGAGGCACAGAGUGACUGAAAACUUAUGUCGGAGACAUGGGGUGGUUUUCAGGGCCUGCAUUCCGUUUUGUUUGUUUGUUUGUUUGUUUCAGUUUUUAGGGCCACACACACAUAUGGAAGUUCCCAGGCUAAGGGUCAAGUUGGAGCUACAGUUGCCGGCCUACAGCACAGCCACAGCAACACCAGACCUGAGCCGCAUCUGUGACCUACACCACAGCUCAUGGCAACACCAGAUCCUUUAGCCCACUGAGUGAGGCCAGGGAUCGAACCCACAUCCUCAUGGAUACUAGUCGGGUUCGUUACCACUGAGCCACGAUGGCAACUCCAGGACCUGCAUCCUUAAGCCUUCUGCUCCAUAUUGACCUUGAGACACUAGCUAUGCGUCCACUGCUUAGCAGAGAGGCCCAGACCUUCGAGCCAUGCAGAAAUGAGGGUCCGGAGUGAAGGAGAAUGAGGGGCAAGAGCUGAAUGGGGAGAGAGGGGCUCUGCCAUGCUGGGGCCCUAAGGGAAGUGGGCCAGCCAGGAAGCUCCCCAAGAGGAGGCAGCAGGCGCCCUCCACUCCCUCCUCUCCUGCCCACAGGGAGGGAAUCCAGCCCUAGGAACUGGGCCUCUUGCCCUGCUGCCCUCCCCACAGCCCACAGAGAACACAGGUGGCCUGGCCCCCUCCCAGUGCCUAGAGGGGGUUGCAUAACUGCCCUGAGCCCCGUGAGGCCAGAGGGGCUCUACCUUCCUCCCCCUGAGGCACUGGGACAGGAGGGCUGACAGACUCUGGCUCAGCUUUUGCAGACAAAACUUAAGUCCUCUAAGUGGAAGUAUGCCAGCCCUCUCUGGGCCAGGGCAAGGCCCAAUCAUGUCCCCCAGUCCACAGACAGAGCUGAGGUUCUAUUGACAAAAACGUCUAAAGAUGUUUACCUCAGCCCCAACGGCUGCUGGCCCAGGUCCCGUUUGGGUGUGCCAUGGGCUCAGGUGAGGUCACACACACACACACUCCCUCCCCAGGAACCAGCUCCCUGAGUCGCCUCACCCCAGCCAAAUUCACCUGAAGCACCUGGCCUUUCUCUGAAUACCACAGGAGGUUAUCUCGCUACGAGCUGUCCAUCAAGAGAACCUCCCCCUGCUUCAAUCAUUCACAGAAUGAGCUUCUUAAAUUACUGCAGGGAGCUCCAAGUUCUGAGAUUUCUGCCGCACUUUCAUCUUGAGGGGGAAAGGAGAGGCCAAGAAGGGAGGGCGAACUACCUCACACCUGUCAGAAUGGCCGUCAUCAAAAAGGCAACAAAUAACAAAGUUUGGCAAGGGUGUGGGGAAGAGGGAGCCCUCGAACACAGACGGCAGGAAGGCAAAAUUGGUGCUCCCACUGCGGAAAAUAGUAAGAAGCUUCCUCAGAAAGUUAAAAAUAGAACUACCAUAUUAUCCAGCUACUUCACAUAUGCUGUGUAUUUACCUGAAGAAAACAAAAACACUAAUUCAAAAAGAUAUAUGCACCCUAAUGUUCACAGCAGCAUUAUUUACAAUGGCCAAGACAUGGAAGCAACCUAAGUGUCCAGUGACAUAUGAAUAAAUAAAAAAAGAUAUCAUACACACACACACAGAGUGAAGAAUUACUAAGCUAUAAAAAAUACAAUUUUUCAACAAUGCAGAUGGAUCAAGAGAGUAUUAUGUUAAGUGAAAUUAGUCAGACAAAGACAAAUACCAUACGAGCUCACCUAGACAGGGAAUCUAAAAAACAGGACAAAACAAAACCAGACUCAUAGGUACAGAGAACAUAUGGGUGGCGGCGGGAGUUACGGGGGAGGAUGCAAAAUAGGUAAAGUGAAUUAAGAGGCACAAACCUCCAGUUAUAAAAUA
rnacentral:lncRNA from 1 species